AUUGAACGCUGGCGGCAGGCCUAACACAUGCAAGUCGAACGGUAACAGGAAGCAGCUUGCUGCUUUGCUGACGAGUGGCGGACGGGUGAGUAAUGUCUGGGAAACUGCCCGAUGGAGGGGGAUAACUACUGGAAACGGUAGCUAAUACCGCAUAACGUCGCAAGACCAAAGAGGGGGACCUUAGGGCCUCUUGCCAUCGGAUGUGCCCAGAUGGGAUUAGCUAGUAGGUGGGGUAACGGCUCACCUAGGCGACGAUCCCUAGCUGGUCUGAGAGGAUGACCAGCCACACUGGAAAUGAGACACGGUCCAGACUCCUACGGGAGGCAGCAGUGGGGAAUAUUGCACAAUGGGCGCAAGCCUGAUGCAGCCAUGCCGCGUGUAUGAAGAAGGCCUUCGGGUUGUAAAGUACUUUCAGCGGGGAGGAAGGGAGUAAAGUUAAUACCUUUGCUCAUUGACGUUACCCGCAGAAGAAGCACCGGCUAACUCCGUG
rnacentral:rRNA from 1 species